GUACUUGAUAAAAAGUUCGAUCUUCUCGAAAAUACGCUAACAGCGUAACGCUGAGGUUUCGUUGCUAAUUUUCGAAGACCGAGAAGCGUGAGCGAUCAAAUACCGGAAGGCAAGCGAAGUACGACCGCCGAAUCAGGAAUACUUAAAAUUCUCCAGGGAGAUACCAUGACUCAUUAACUUUUUAAUGGUAGGUAUAACUGUUCCGCUUCCUUCUCGCCGGUAGAUCGGUAAAUUUGAAACAUAAUUAGCGAAGGAACUCGAAACGAGGCUAUCGUUUUGUGCACGGUGCACACAGGAAAUGCAUCCGUGGCGAACGCCAGGGCGCAAUGCACUCACGUUCCUUUUCUUCCGUUCCAGCCCGUCCGUAUCAUCGAUUCCCGACGCCGCAUCGCGCCGAACCGCUUCUCUUUCUCUCGUUUGCAUCGGCUCUCUGUCUGUCUCCUCUUCUCAAACCCACCGGAGACCCUUUUUUCAUCGAAUCUACGUGUCUUCGAGGCUCUGCCAACUGGAACUUAUGUAAGUCGUUUAAUCGGUUUACCGAUGCGGUCGCCUCAACACGCAUUUACUAUACGCGAGUGUACGCGUAAGCGUAAGUGUGCGCGCUCAUUUCCUCCAUUCCCCUGUCUCCCAAGCUCCAACAGCCUCGUACUCGCCCCCUACCCACCUUGUCGCCCCCUCGCCGAUACCACUGCGCUCCCGAGUCAUCGAUAUUGCCUGUUACAGUUGUCGAAGGAACAGGAUAGGAACGAGCUUCUGGUACGAACAAAUUGUCGGAGCAGAAUUGACCUCGUUUCUUGACGUGAUUAAGAGUGUGGAUCGUUGUGUGGAUUAUUUUGGUUAGAUUGUCAAAAUCUGAACUUUAUAUUGUAGAAGGAAUUACGCUUAGAACUCGUAGCAUUACGUAGAAAUACUUAAGUAUCUGCCUUUGAUACGCACAAAUUUCUCGUUUUCAAAGAAAAUAUGUUUUAUCGAAAAGUGGUACAAUCCCUCAUAGUAUUAUACAGUGACUCACGAAAGUAUUUGAACAUUCGUUGCAGAAUAUUUGUAUGAAUAUAUCGCGUGUGCCAUACGAAAACUUUUUGAAAUUUCACCAACGCCGUAACGAGACGCAAGUAUCGUGAUUACGUAGGUAAAAUUUGAAAUCGAUUAAAACAUGUAUGUGGAAGCUGCGGAUCAUUUAUUAUAAACAUGUACACAUUUAGCAAGAAAUUAGCAUACAAUGUGGACAAUGUUCUUCGUGAAUAAUCAUCUGUUCAAAUAUUUUGGUGAUCUCUGCGAAAUAUACGAUUGUAACAGAUAUCUUGUAAUUUUUAUGUUUUUCAAUUUCGUUUUAAAUUUCACCGAUAUAAACAUGAUAGCCGCGUUUCGUUACAAUGCUAAUGAAAUUUUAGAACGUUUCUUAUAGCGCGUAUCAUAUGCUCACAAAGUGUUUCUAGACGGUAAAGAUGGAUGACUAUUACGAGCAUAAUCUUCUAUUGCAGUUCUACAGUUUAGUGUCGAAGUAUGAAAUCGAUCCAAAGUUUUUCGUCACUCUAAACGAAGCUUCUAACACGACUGUAGAGAUAUCAUAUAGAUCGAAUUCAAGUCGCUUGAACUCAGGUAACUUGGCUAAUCUGAUAGAAAUUUGAUGAACAACUUUCCCUUAGAUACUGUCGCGAUAAACGAAGAACGUCUAAGUAAAUAUAGUGAUAUAACGAUUAUAGUAAUAUAGCGAUCAGAAUCAGUCGGUUCGAGUCUUUUCCUACGCAAGACAGAAAAUAUGUCGUGUCCUUGCUGGGAGCAACUGAGAAAUACCACCAAGUCGGCACGCCAAGCGGCGCUCAAUGAACACACGUCAUUUCGAGUCAUUCAUGCAUCUGCAGGUUGUCCUCGCACGUCUAUACGCAACACACGUGGUUGCGUGUGCAUUAGCGAUGGGAAUGAUGACCUCGCAACCGAUGUAUCGAUGCUUUUGUGGAAAGUAUUUGUUCGUGUGGCGUUCGAACUAUAGGCGAGGAUAACUUCCGAAAACUAGAGUUCAAUCAACGAAUGUCCUGAAUCGUUUAUCGGCUACUACUGCAUUACUACUUCUUUAUCGAUGACCAUUGUAACGGACGUAUUACGUAUCGUCUGUGGGAAGUAUUAUGUAAUUUGUUUUCCUCGGAUUUGUCAUUCGCGUAUUUAUGAACGAUAAUGACAAACGUAAUUCCUGCCGUGUAACAAGCUGUUUGCUUAUCCGAUUUCUUAGCGACAAUUUGCUAGAUUUUUCUGAUUCACAAAUAUUUAUUUGAAAGAAGCAAAGAGAUAUUCUUGGAUAAAAAAUGUGAAUCGAUAGAGUCGUGCCUCUUUCAGUAGUUUUUAGCGGUUUCAAUGUUACAAUGUUUCAAUGUUCAAUGUUCGGUAUCUCGAUCGAACGUUUAUCUUUCCGUGUUAAAAAAAAAAAAUCGCCAUAACGAAAACAUUUACAAUUUUAUCGACCUCUUGGCGAAAAUAAUCGGCAUCUUUUAAAGAUAGUAAAAUUGAAUGCCAUUCAAGAAAUGUCACAAGUUACGUAGCUGUGUACAUAAUAAUGGAGCGCGUGCACCAUUCACCAGCGGCUGGCAUGCACGCGUAUAUUCGUCCGUGGUUUAGGUCACGAAAGAUCGCGUAGAUAGUUACAUGUACUCGGAAAAACGGCGUAUCGUUAUCAUUUGUCCUGCCUCCCCUCUUCGGCCGUGUCUUUGGCUCCGGGUUCUUUCCGCUUCGUUCCUCUUUACUUCGUUUCUGUUUCUCGUUCACGUGACUUCGUUUUGACUUAAAUCUAUUGCAGGCCUAAGCAAAUUUCUCGGUUCAUUCGUAUCGAUGCUCCGAAUGUACACAAUAUUUCUUAAGCGAUACAUCUCGAUUCAAUUUGAACAUUAUAAGGGAAAAAAGGUGAUAAGUGUAUUUCUGUUAAAUCUUUUACUUAAUAUCGCUUUAUGAUUAAAUGAGAGAAUUUUAAUAUGACGGAACAACCUGUCAGGUUCGAAAAUAGCUGAUGAGUCGACGAACUUUUAUAAAAGUUAAAGAUAUAAUUAUCGAAGAUAAGCAAUAUUUUAAUACUAUUUUUAAAAUUUCGGAAUGGACGAAAAAAAAAAAAAAUACACAUCCACUUUGAAAAUCAAAUAAAAAGACAAUUUUGAUAAUAUUCUCAUUAUCGAUUAACAACUUAUCGACUUUUAAAACUGCUCCCCUGUAAAAGGAUAGAAUACGACUUACCGUGUUCUUCGAUUGUCUAAAAUUAUUACAUUUGAAAUAUCCAAGAAAAGAAGAAAAACAUUCGGUCAAUCUGACCGAUUAAUCUGAAAGGAUUGUUCGUAUGCAUCGAUUAAGUUUCUUUUUUUUAUCAAAUGUUUUCGCGAUUUCGCAUGACGAACGAAGAAAUCCGGCGGGACUACCGAGUCGCUUGCCAUGACCGUUCGAUAAAAUUUGCAACGAUAUAUCGUGGCGCUUUCAAUAGCGGCAUUCUUUCGUAGGAACAACUCGAUCAAGGUCAGCUAGAAACGAGCCGAGAAGAGAAGGAAAGAGAGAAAUGUGUCUCAGUAUGUCGUAGGUUACAAAUCAUCCAGGCGGGAGCUGUAAACAGGCGUAAGGUUAAACGGGCGUACACACUUAAGUGCAUUAAUGAACGCGUUUAAGAUACGCGGCGUGCCGUCGUUUAAAUAUAGGCUAAACCAGUGUUUCUCAGCCUACUCGUUAAAAUAUAGACCAUUUGAAGACCCAAGACUUUUGCGUCACGGUUAUAUCUCGCUGAUGCUUGCCGUGUAAACGAUAUCGUGAGAACUAAACUCGCGAUCCUCCACGCGACAAGCUUGGAAGUAGCUCGCCGAGCGAUUACUUUGAUAUCUUUUCUCUUCUUCUACUCAAAUGCAGUAGAAUUACGCUUUUGUCUUGAUGUUUCUUCGAAUUGCGGCUAAACAAGGCGAACUGCGACGCUCGCAGUAAGAAGCGGCAGCGCCAAUAUUUAAAUCGUAGUUAUUGGAAGAGAAAAGAACAAUAGUCUAGCUUUCGUAUUCAAAAGUGAAAAGGUUUAUUGCUAGAAGUAUUAGUAGGCCGUGAAUUUAUAUGUAGAGCGUUUGAAAAAGUUCGUAAAGGAAGGUAUGAAAAAUACAGAAACAAAAACAUUAGGCAUUCAUUGGAUCCAGAUAUGUUGGAGUUCAUAUUAAUUUUGAGAAGUCACAUUGGCCAGUUUCGUAAAUUGAAAGGUGCAGAAAAGUGACGGUGUUACGAAUACUGUUUUUUAAAAUUUACCUUUACUAAUAUAUACGUCGUAUUACGAUGAAUAGACUUAUGGAAGUAAAGCAUUUGUUUCUUGAGAAUUCGGUAUUGAUCGUGUAUUUAUGUUUAUUCUAUGGAAUUAAGAAUUUAAUAAAAAGUAGAGUCGAUCAGUUUGGCCUCUAAGAAGCCAAGAAGAAGAAGAAGAAGAUAAAUAUAAAAAUUCAUAGUUUCGCAGAGGAAGAAAUCUCCGGACAAAAUUUUCUCGUUCGGAUUUACAUACUGGCAAGGGAACAAUUAGCAAAGGGAACGGAACAGCUGAACAGUCAAGAAACGAGAGAACGAUAAUGUGGAGUAGCGAGGAGGAAGCAAAGCAAUAAAGUUGCGAAAACGAGGGUAACUUUCGCCGUCGUUGUUUUCGAGCGUGCUACUCGCUUCACAACGUGCGAGUGCCUUACUUAAUUAGACAAUUAACCCUUGCAACCAUUGAAACCGAUGGCGCAGAGAAUGGUCAGCUAAGCGAAAACGACACUGUUCUCUUAAUUUGUCCUCGGUUCUGAAUCAGGUUGAAAGAGGAAACUGGUAGUUCUCUUUUAACGUGAAACUAGUCGAAUUUUCUAAAAAAUUUCCGUAAUAUGUUAACGAUAUUACACGAAAAAAGAGAUUCUAUAUUUUCGAUCUGCACUUUUACAAAAGAACGCAAUGAGUUAAAUUUCCUAUCUCUUACAAAGAAGCAUUUUUAAGAUUCAAUAUUUAUACUGUCGAUCGAUUCUAUGUAACCAAAAUUGUUUUUUCUUUGGUUUUGUAAUUAAACACGCAUACCUCUUGGUACUUCUCAAAAUUUCGUUCAUCUCAGUAACUGUACCAUUGUCUUCCACAAAACUUCGUCAACCUGACUGCUAUUUUUAAAUCACAUCUUUCAACCUAAGAGAUGUGAUGUUGUUUUUGUUUUCAAUUGUGACAUAUUAAAAUGCUUCUGCUCGAUCAUAAAGCAACAUUAAAAUCAGAAAAUCAUGUUUUCUCUCCUAUCAUUUCCAAGUGUUAUUCGCACUUGUCAAAGAUUCAGAAGCUUUUCAACAAGAUAGUGCACGGGGUGGCGAGAAUUAUGAGACGAACGUGUCUCCAUUUGCCAGUUGAGAGUACGUCAGGACGUGUUAUUACGACGCUAGGAAAGGUGAUCAUCGAACGCAAGAGGGAAAAGGGGGGCUCGUCGGUCGGAACGUGAAGAAGGGAGAGGUAGGACGAAGCGUUUCCACACCGGAUAUCCUCCAGAGGGAAGUGGUGCACGCGAUUCAUAUCGCCACGCCCGCCAUGCAAAAUGUGUAUUUGUAUUAUUAUUACUAUUACUACUACAUAUAUAUAUAUAUAUAUUAUAAUUAUUAUUACGCUAUUAUAAAUUCGUCAUUUGUGUUGUAUCUAUAACAGCUAUGAAAAGAAGUAAGAAGCGCGGAAGGUCUCGCGAAUAAGAGGACUGUUCUUUUUACGUCUCAUUAACUACGAUUUCUUUGUACCUCAUUAUAUUAUGUUUGCUUCGUUUAAAUUAAUUACAUCUCGUUGUCAGCGUCGAGACAGCGUCAAACACAAAGAUUUUCAUUUUAAUUCCAUUUUUAUGACACUGAUAAUUCUUUUGAUAUACUGAUUUCGCGCACCUUGAAAACUACUAUAAUACAGGGAUGUUUCAUAUUUUGACAUUCCAAUUAUGUUAAAUGCUUUUGAAAAUUAAGGCCUUGAACUCGUCCUCGAUCAACGUUGUUUGUAACGAUAAGUUCACGAGUGUAGCUGCCGCUAAUGAAUCAGGUGAGUUCUCGAGUAACGAUAUGAACGAACGUUUCAUGAAAACCUUGGGUGUCUCCUUUGCAUGUAUGCGAGUAAAACAUGAUUUGCAGCAACGCUAGUGCCACAUUAUUAGACGAGUCUGACUAGUCGCGUUUCUAGAUCACUUUUCGUUGUUCCCUUUCAGUGUCGUCAGCUUGUUUUUCCUCGACUCUAAGGAUUUAUUCGUCUCGAUACUACGUUCCGUUCGAUUCCCGAUCGUAAACUUCGAGACCUUUGAAAAAUGCGAUUUGUAAAUCAAUCACACGUUUAAUACGCCCGCUUCGCGCAUUCGAGAUUAGAACAGUGGCAUUUUUGCAUGGAAACCGGUUCACCGUAUUUACUGCCGAGUACUAAGAGUCGUCACCGUCGAUGCGUUUCGUAAAACCACUCCAAUCUUUACAUACAUAUAAAUGAAACGAGUAGAUCGCUUUUCAGCAACGACUAGACUAUAUUUUUACGUUUCUUGUGUUUGGAUUCUAUAGGAGGAUUACAAGGAAAGAACAUGAUAAAUCAGACUUUUAGAACUAAACGUGCGUUCUCUUAUUCCCUUGAAAAUUUAAAGAAUAUUUCUUGGUUUACUAAUUACGUACAUCUUUGGCUUUCACAAAACAUUAGCUAUCAUCAUAAUUUAUCAGCUAUUUUUGAAAGACUUACAUGUCUGGACCUGAGAAGUUAUUUCAUUUUUGAUUAUGUCAUAUUUAACAUUCUCCUGUUUGAUCAUAAAGUGAGAAAAUCAGAAAAUCAACAAAAAUGUCUUCAUCGUGUUUCUCUCCUUUAUGUUCAUAUGUAAGUGCACCGAUCAAAUCAGGAUAUUUCAGAUUAAUCAAUCUAUUCACGGAAUCAUUGACGGAAGCGCUAACCUUCUGAUUUUUCAACAUAUUUUUAUGAGACAAAUAGAAGUGGAAUAUUUGACGAAUAACGUGAUAAAAUCUCGUCGACAAGAACAAAUUCACGAUCUAAACGCCAGUGAGAAUAUGAUACAAAUACGACUGGAAGGUUUGUCGAAUACCGUGGCAAAGUCUCGAGGACAAAAGCGUCGAUUUGGAACGUAUAUACAGUGGAUAAGGAGUCUGGUCGAUUUAUCUUGACAAUAUUCCGCUCGUGAUUCGAAACUUGCGUGUCCGAUUAAUACUCGAACUGCUGCGCUGCCUGGUGUCCCGGCUGGGCGAAACGGAGAUAGCCAAGCUGGAAGCGACAAGGACAGCCUGGUUUAUGCUCACUGUCUGCCUUACAACAGGGAGUGGGAGGAGGAACACGCACACACGGCCGCAUAAAUAACGUGGCACAGCCACAGAGUUACGGUGCGACUUACGUGUAAACGAAUAGAGUGAGACGAACAGAUGGAGAACGAGGACAGUCGUACGGGUUGUAAAACAAGAACGACGAAGACGAAAGAGGAUGUAGUCGGCGGACAUUUCCGAAGAGAACCGAGAAUCCCCGACAUGUGGGAGAGCCCCGUAGUACACAGAGGGGUAUCGGUUUUAUGACGUUCGAUCACCUGAGCGAAGAUUUUUCAAGCACCGCGGAGCGAAGAGAGAAUACGAACGAGCGAAAUCCUUUCCCGCUUCGAUAUCCUUCAAUGAAUAAACCGUCUUCCCUGAGCGCAUUCUCGUCAGUUCUUUGAGAAGAGAUCGCGUUUACGAACUUAUGAAUGUUUUACUUCCAUGGUUGAUUACAAAUAUAUUUAUUUAAUACA